rnacentral:rRNA from 1 species
UACGUAGGGUGCAAGCGUUAAUCGGAAUUACUGGGCGUAAAGCGUGCGCAGGCGGUUAUGUAAGACAGAUGUGAAAUGCCCGGGCUUAACCUGGGAACUGCAUUUGUGACUGCAUGGCUAGAGUUUGGGCAGAGGGGGGUAGAAUUCCACGUGUAGCAGUGAAAUGCGUAGAUAUGUGGAGGAACACCGAUGGCGAAGGCAGCCCCCUGGGUCAAGACUGACGCUCAUGCACGAAAGGCGUGGGGAGCAAACAGG